GAUGAACGCUCGCUACAGGCUUAACACAUGCAAGUCGAGGGGAAACGACAUCGAAAGCUUGCUUUUGAUGGGCGUCGACCGGCGCACGGGUGAGUAACGCGUAUCCAACCUGCCCAUCACUUGGGAAUAACCUUGCGAAAGUAAGACUAAUACCCAAUGAUAUCCCACGAAGGCAUCGGAAUGGGAUUAAAGAUUUAUCGGUGAUGGAUGGGGAUGCGUCUGAUUAGCUUGUUGGCGGGGUAACGGCCCACCAAGGCAACGAUCAGUAGGGGUUCUGAGAGGAAGGUCCCCCACAUUGGAACUGAGACACGGUCCAAACUCCUACGGGAGGCAGCAGUGAGGAAGAUUGGUCAAUGGGCGAGAGCCUGAACCAGCCAAGUAGCGUGCAGGAAGACGGCCCUAUGGGUUGUAAACUGCUUUUAUAAGGGAAUAAAGUGGGUCACGUGUGACUUUUUGCAUGUACCUUAUGAAUAAGGACCGGCUAAUUCCGUG
rnacentral:rRNA from 1 species